GACUCACUGAAGCUUUUUACAUAUGUACAUACACAGAGCUCUCAUUCGGUUUUUACUGCUGGUGGUUUGUCGUGUGAAACGCCGAAAACCUUUCCUCAAUGGAAAAAAGACGGAAAAUGGGAAGGAAAUGAAAAGAAGAAAGUAGUAGAACUUUUUUCUUUCCUGUUUUCUCUUGUUUUUGCUCAUUUUCGCCCCCUAUAAGAUCAUAUUGCU
ensembl:ncRNA R153.9 ncRNA